UGCAAGUCGAGGGGGUAACAGGGAGCUUGCUUCGCUGACGACCGGCGCACGGGUGCGUAGCGCGUAUAGAACCUACCUUUUACAGGGGAAUAGCCUUUAGAAAUGAAGAUUAAUGCCCCAUAGUAUUGUAGACUGGCAUCAGUUUUAUAAUUAAAGAUUUAUCGGUAAGAGAUGGCUAUGCGUCCUAUUAGUUAGUUGGUAAGGUAACGGCUUACCAAGACAUCGAUAGGUAGGGGUCCUGAGAGGGAGACCCCCCCACACUGGUACUGAGACACGGACCAGACUCC
rnacentral:rRNA from 1 species